UACGUAGGGGGCAAGCGUUGUCCGGAAUCAUUGGGCGUAAAGCGCGUGUAGGCGGCUUCGUCAGUCCGUUGUGAAAGUCCAGGGCUCAACCCUGGAAUGCCGAUGGAUACUGCGGAGCUAGAGUCCGGAAGAGGCGAGUGGAAUUCCUGGUGUAGCGGUGAAAUGCGCAGAUAUCGGGAGGAACACCUAUGGCGAAGGCAGCUCGCUGGGACGUUACUGACGCUGAGACGCGAAAGCGUGGGGAGCAAACAGG
rnacentral:rRNA from 1 species